AUUGGCCCAGACCUCGACCGUAGUCUUCUUCCUCGCGAAGGAGCUCCGCACGCCUCCAGACCUCCUUCCGACGAAGCUAAGCACCACAGAGAUCUAGUAUUCCCUGAAAGGUCUCAGCUUUCUGCUGAAUCUCCAUGGCCCGCGUCCUCGGCGCCCCCACCGGGUCUUGAGUGCUCGAGUACACCAUCACCCAGAUCGUGUAUGCUGCUUGGUUCUUGCUCAUGAUGGUGAUGAUCCGAAGAGAACGGCAGUACAGCGUGGGAGGGGCGUUCCUGGAGGCGGUGUGGCUUGGAUCACCUACAUGCUCGGGGCGUUCAUUGUGAGAGCAAUCUCUUUUUUUUAUUUUUGAUCGGUUGUGGGAGCAAUCUUUGUGGCAAUCUCUGGGGAGUCAGAUCGGCAGGUGGAUGUUUGUCCCUCGUCGGCGAGAUGUAUGUCAUGAGUUCAUGCAUGACUUCGUUACUUGCUCGAAUUGGACAAUAUGUAAAUCGCUCAUCUAGAUUUGCAGAUAAAUAUCAAUCAGAUAUAAGAUUAGCUCUAUUUUGA